UUGCGAGCUAGGCCGGGAAGUCAGCAGUUUCCUGUAUCCGCAAAUCUGCUUUAGGCGGGGCCGAAGCCUUUAAGGCGGCUUAAGGUUUUUUCAAAAAACUGCGGCAAUGCCGCUGACCUUUUGUCCUUAAAGGCGUUUUUGCUGAAAGAACCCCGCCAGGUUCGGAAGAAAGCAACGGUAGUUCAACAAGAGCGUGCAUUAAGGGAAACAAAAGCGAGGCAUUCUGACAGCCAAGUUUGAAAAUUUCCUUUAAGUCCACUCGAAGGCGCGCUCGCAC
rnacentral:SRP_RNA from 1 species